AACGAACGCUGGCGGCAUGCCUAACACAUGCAAGUCGAACGAAGCCUUCGGGCUUAGUGGCGCACGGGUGCGUAACACGUGGGAAUCUGCCCUUAGGUACGGAAUAACUCAGGGAAACUUGAGCUAAUACCGUAUGAUGUCUUCGGACCAAAGAUUUAUCGCCUAAGGAUGAGCCCGCGUCGGAUUAGCUAGUUGGUGGGGUAAAGGCCUACCAAGGCGACGAUCCGUAGCUGGUCUGAGAGGAUGAUCAGCCACACUGGGACUGAGACACGGCCCAGACUCCUACGGGAGGCAGCAGUGGGGAAUAUUGGACAAUGGGCGAAAGCCUGAUCCAGCAAUGCCGCGUGAGUGAAGAAGGCCUUCGGGUUGUAAAGCUCUUUUACCCGGGAAGAUAAUGACUGUACCGGGAGAAUAAGCCCCGGCUAACUCCGUGCCAGCAGCAGCCGCGGUAA
rnacentral:rRNA from 1 species